rnacentral:tRNA from 1 species
GGGGUCGUAGCGCAGGGGUAGCGCGCUUCCUUCGCAUCCAGUCGAUCAGGAAGAGGUCGUGGGUUCAAUUCCCACCGUCUCCA